GCUGGAAUCAUCAUCAUCAUCAUUAUUUAUUGUCAAUAUAGAGAUGUUUAAUUGACUGAAUGACAGUACCAUACCAUUUCAUUUGUUCUCCCUCUCAAUUUUCUUCUAUUUUCUCUUCAAAUUCUAAGAUCCAUCGUUACAGUUCAAACAGGAUCCAGAAUAGAUCAGUUGUUAUACGGGGUCCUUGAAUAUUGGUAAGGUGAGUGCAUUACUUGUGUAGUUGUGUUUGGCUCUUAAGCUCCAUGGAGUCCCUCCUUUGGCUAUCUU
rnacentral:lncRNA from 1 species